rnacentral:lncRNA from 1 species
AACUCAGUUUGUGCCAACCAGAAGUGCUAUGAAAAGCUGCCUGGUAUAGCUGACAGAACUCAAGAUUUGGGAAAGACAUGGGUUUGAGUCCCAGAUCUCCCACCUUCUUUUUUUAUUUGUUUUGUUUUUGGUGAGGAAGAUUGGCCCUGAGAUGACAUCUAUUACCAGUCUUCCUCAGUUUGCUUGAGGAAGAUUCGCCCUGAACUAAUAUCCAUGCAAAUCUUCCUGUAUUUUUUUAUAGGCAGGAUGCCACCACAGCAUCGCUUGAUGAGCCAUGUGUAUGUCCAGGCCCAGGAUCCGAACCCACAAACCUCGGGCCACUGAAGCGGAAAGUGCGAACUUAACCACCUUCUACCUCCACCUUCUUGAAAGUCACCUGAUAAAUGUACACAAUAAAACCUAUUCUAAGGGACUUCUGGGAAGAGUAACUAGAUUAAUCUGUCUGAGCAUGACAGGCCCACCCAUGGCCAUAGCAUCCAUACUGUGCACACCGUGGAAAGAGUACUCUCUUUGUGCCUUGAAGCUUGGAAUCACUGGAUUAUUGAACUAUUCUACCAUUUCCCCAAAGACGGCUGAAGCAGGAAGCGUUCCUGUAGUGGAAAGGACACAAAUUGUGAGCACAAAGAGCCUCCAUUUGAAUGCUGGUUCUUCCACUUACUAACUGUGUGACCUUGGAAUAAAUAACUAAAGACGUACGGAAGUUGUUCA